GUGCUUGCAUCUUGAUUUAAUCUUUGAACGAGUGGCGGACGGGUGAGUAACACGUGGGUAACCUGCCCUUAAGUGGGGGAUAACAUUUGGAAACAGAUGCUAAUACCGCAUAAAUCCAAGAACCGCAUGGUUCUUGGCUGAAAGAUGGCGUAAGCUAUCGCUUUUGGAUGGACCCGCGGCGUAUUAGCUAGUUGGUGAGGUAACGGCUCACCAAGGCAAUGAUACGUAGCCGAACUGAGAGGUUGAUCGGCCACAUUGGGACUGAGACACGGCCCAAACUCCUACGGGAGGCAGCAGUAGGGAAUCUUCCACAAUGGACGCAAGUCUGAUGGAGCAACGCCGCGUGAGUGAAGAAGGCUUUCGGGUCGUAAAACUCUGUUGUUGGAGAAGAAUGGUCGGCAGAGUAACUGUUGUCGGCGUGACGGUAUCCAACCAGAAAGCCACGGCUAACUAC
rnacentral:rRNA from 2 species